GACGAACGCUGGCGGCGUGCCUAAUACAUGCAAGUAGAACGCACAGGAUGCACCGUAGUUUACUACACCGUAUUCUGUGAGUUGCGAACGGGUGAGUAACGCGUAGGUAACCUGCCUGGUAGCGGGGGAUAACUAUUGGAAACGAUAGCUAAUACCGCAUAAGAACAUUUACUGCAUGGUAGAUGUUUAAAAGGUGCAAGAGCAUCACUACCAGAUGGACCUGCGUUGUAUUAGCUAGUUGGUGAGGUAACGGCUCACCAAGGCAACGAUACAUAGCCGACCUGAGAGGGUGAUCGGCCACACUGGGACUGAGACACGGCCCAGACUCCUACGGGAGGCAGCAGUAGGGAAUCUUCGGCAAUGGGGGAAACCCUGACCGAGCAACGCCGCGUGAGUGAAGAAGGUUUUCGGAUCGUAAAGCUCUGUUGUUAAGGAAGAACGUGUGUGAGAGUGGAAAGUUCACACAGUGACGGUACUUAACCAGAAAGGGACGGCUAACUACGUGCCAGCAGCCGCGGUAAUACGUAGGUCUCGAGCGUUGUCCGGAUUUAUUGGGCGUAAAGCGAGCGCAGGCGGUUAGAUAAGUCUGAAGUGAAAGGCAGUGGCUCAACCAUUGUAGGCUUUGGAAACUGUUUAACUUGAGUGCAGAAGGGGAGAGUGGAAUUUCCAUGUGUAGCGGUGAAAUGCGUAGAUAUAUUGGAGGGAACACCGCUGGCGAAGCGGCUCUCUUGUCUGUAAUUGACGCUCAGGCUCGAAAGCUGGGGAACGAACAGGAUUAAAAACCCUGGUAGUCCAAAGGGAAAUUACACAUAGGAGAUAAAGCGUGUUCAUACCCCCCACCGGGGGGGGUUUCUUCUGUUUACUACUUUUAGUUCCGUUAGAUGGGUUACUUAUUGGCACGCGCGACGCGGGAGGAGAGCCAU
rnacentral:rRNA from 1 species